UACGUAGGGGGGCUAGCGUUGUCCGGAUUUAUUGGGCGUAAAGAGCGUGUAGGCGGCCAGGUAGGUCGGUUGUGAAAACUGGAGGCUCAACCUUCAGACGUCGACCGAAACCAUCUGGCUAGAGUCCGGGAGAGGAGAGUGGAAUUCCUGGUGUAGCGGUGAAAUGCGCAGAUAUCAGGAAGAACACCCGUGGCGAAAGCGGCUCUCUGGAACGGUACUGACGCUGAGACGCGAAAGCGUGGGGAGCGAACAGG
rnacentral:rRNA from 1 species